UNGACAACCUGUGCUGUGCCUGUCAGUC
rnacentral:piRNA from 1 species